AUGUCUUUCAACGCCUUGGAGUUGGCGUGUUGGAAUGUCAGAGGCCUUAACAACUCGGCCAAGAGGAAGGCACUAAGAGGCUUUGUGGACUCUGUUCGUGCGGCGAUUGUAUGUAUAUUAGAAACUAAUUUAGAGGAAGUGAACAUUUAUGUAAUCUUGCAAUGCAUGGGACCGAACUAUGAUGGUUUUACCUACUUACCGGCCUCGGAGACGAGAGGUGGUAUUUUUGUGGUUUGGGACACUACUAGGGUGAUGGUGACGAACUUUGUCAAUGAUUCUCAUUGCAUUACGGGUUUUGUCUCGCCUAAAGAGGGGACACCUUGGUGGUUAACCUAG
rnacentral:rRNA from 1 species